UCUAGACAUUAGACUCAUGUUUGAAACAUGAGACAUCGCAGUGCAACAUCAAACAAGGAGACACGGGCAGACUAUACAGCGAACUAACUAAACCGCGGAGGAGUUUCAGACGAACAACUCAUGAACUUGAGGAAGCUGUCCGUUGGGCUGGCGCGAAGAAGCAUAUUCAACAUGGAUGAGGCACACGCUUGUGAGUCUGAGACUGGAUGAAGGGCAUGGUUUGUCUGUGAGUCUGAGACUGGAUGAGGGAUCAUUAGACAGCUGAGUUAGAUCGGUGUCCGGGUCAUAGGGUGGAAGAUGCAGGAGCGAGGAAACGAUUUUGCUGCGAUUGGAGAUGCAGUUCCACUGGUCAGUGUGGUUUGGCCUGUUAAACGGAUAGUUCACCCAAAAAUUACAAUUCUGUCAUU